AUUGAACGCUGGCGGCAUGCUUUACACAUGCAAGUCGAACGGCAGCGCGGGCUUCGGCCUGGCGGCGAGUGGCGAACGGGUGAGUAAUACAUCGGAACGUGCCCAGUAGUGGGGGAUAGCUCGGCGAAAGCCGGAUUAAUACCGCAUACGACCUGAGGGUGAAAGCGGGGGAUCUUCGGACCUCGCGCUAUUGGAGCGGCCGAUGGCAGAUUAGCUAGCUGGUGGGGUAAAGGCCUACCAAGGCGACGAUCUGUAGCUGGUCUGAGAGGACGACCAGCCACACUGGGACUGAGACACGGCCCAGACUCCUACGGGAGGCAGCAGUGGGGAACUUUGGACAAUGGGCGAAAGCCUGAUCCAGCAAUGCCGCGUGUGUGAUGAAGGCCUUCGGGUUGUAAAGCACUUUUGGCGGGAACGAAAAGGACUGUGCCAAUACCACGGUUCGAUGACGGUACCCGCAGAAUAAGCACCGGCUAACUACGUG
rnacentral:rRNA from 1 species